rnacentral:lncRNA from 1 species
UGACUUAUCACCUCGUUGGUGAUAACCUCCUCUGCCACGACCUCGAUAUCCGCGACCGCGACUACGACCGCGUCAGCCAGCUCUUGGGUUGGUAUAUGACGUCUGUGUUGUCUGAUCUUUGUGGUUGACUUGUGGUCCUCCUCCUCGUCUACCACGGUUGUGAGUAUCUCCGGAUCUUCCACGAUCGCCUCUUCCUCGACUGGAACUGCUUCCAUAGUCAUUAUUGAGAGUGAGCUUACUUUGCAA